GACGAACGCUGGCGGCGUGCCUAACACAUGCAAGUCAAGGGGAAAGUAAGACUUCGGUUUAUGAGUAUACUGGCGGACGGUGAGUAACGCGUAGGCAACCUACCCUUCUGAUAGGGAUAACCCAUCGAAAGGUGGAUAAUACCUUAUACGGCGAUUUAAUCACAUGUUUAGAUUGUUAAAGUUCGCUUUAUAGCGAACACAAAAGGAUGGGCCUGCGUUCCAUUAGUUAGUUGGUGAGGUAACGGCUCACCAAGGCGACGAUGGAUAGCUGGUUUGAGAGAGUGAUCAGCCACACUGGGACUGAGAUACGGCCCAGACUCCUACGGGAGGCAGCAGUGAGGAAUAUUGCGCAAUGGGCGAAAGCCUGACGCAGCAACGCCGCGUGGGGGAUGAAUCUUUAUGGAGUGUAAACCCCUGUAAGGAGGGACGAAAGUUAUAAAGUCUAAGAGGCUUUAUAUUUGACGGUACCUUCAGAGUAAGCUCCGGCUAACUCCGUG
rnacentral:rRNA from 1 species